ensembl:miRNA gmo-mir-11249 gmo-mir-11249
CCACAUUUUGCAGUAGGCUAUAAUAUAAAGAUAAAUAGCCUACAAUAAGUGUGUGA